rnacentral:rRNA from 1 species
UACGUAGGGUGCGAGCGUUGUCCGGAAUUACUGGGCGUAAAGAGCUCGUAGGUGGUUUGUCACGUCGUCUGUGAAAUUCCGGGGCUUAACUCCGGGCGUGCAGGCGAUACGGGCAAUACUUGAGUGCUGUAGGGGAGACUGGAAUUCCUGGUGUAGCGGUGAAAUGCGCAGAUAUCAGAAGGAACACCAAUGGCGAAGGCAGGUCUCUGGGCAGUCACUGACGCUGAGGAGCGAAAGCAUGGGUAGCGAACAGGAUUA